UUAAUAGCAGUGUCUGGUGAGGUGUAAGUCAAGAAGUGGGAAAUGGCACUCUCGGAAGGAGAUUCGAUGCGGUUAAGAAAUUGAGGUAGCUGAACAACUGUGAGGCACUUAAUGCGAAAGAAGAUGGCGUGGGAAGGAAAGCCAUAAGGAUUUCGACGAGAUAGUCUUCGUUCCAGGACGGGAGGGCGGGGGGGGGGGGGAAUGCUGUGAAGAAAACGCUGGCCUGACAGGACGUAGUUAGCGGUUGUGCCGUAGCCGGAGAAUUCAAAACAGUGUUCCCCAUAAGAGUGUGGAACCUCUCCCGGCCCCCGGAUUCCCCCCCCCCCCCCGAAAAAUGCGAGGUAGCGGAAUGCAUGAGCCCACGUUGAGGUGGUGUCAGCACUGCCGAGUCGCUAGCGAUACGCCCCCGGCGGGGCUCAACCGUUCACGUAUAUAUAUAUAUAUAUAUAUGAUAUUCGUUUCUUCCACCUUCAGCAUGUACUUUCCGUAGCCCAUCAAGGUGCUUUGCCACGGCUUUUGUACGGAAUUCGCCUACUGUCCAUGCCGAUCGCUUACCCCUUAUUUGAUUUGCUAAGUCUCAGCCCCGCAUCUCUCGCAAAUAUUCGCGUGCCGAAGGAGCUCGUUGUUGCAACGGUAGUCGGUCUUUAUAAUUCCGAGAUUCUAUACUUGCUUACUUAGUGCCGUUGCCUUAUGUGCGUUCUGCACAUCUAAUAUUCAGGUAAAUGAGAAUCAGAGAGGCGGAGAUAGACAGCAACUCAAAUGAAUUUGCAGCAGCUGUUCAGAUGUUCCACGAAACUCCGUGAUGAGAGGUUUUCGUUGGGCGUUCCCGACCGCUUCUGUCUUUUGAGGAAAGAGAGUUGCGCAAACUACCACGAUCCAUUUUUCCACGUUACAUCGAGACGCAGCUGCACGUAGUUAAUCUUACGCCGGCUACGGGUGGAUUUUUUUUUUUUUUGUACGGCCUUAAACCCUUUGAAUGCAGAAAACUGACGAUAGUGUGACAUUCUCAUGAUACACUCAAAGUAUGUGGGAAGCAACACUCCGAGGUGGGACAGGGAAAACAUGAUCUGCAUCUCUCUUUAGACAUCUCCGUUGCUAAUGCGGCAAUCCCUGUUAAUUUCCAACCGUGAACAGGAAUUUAACACUGACAUAUGCAUGGAAAUAGUGCCCACUUGAGAGAAAAGCGAAAACGUUUUAAAGGC
rnacentral:misc_RNA from 1 species